GGAUAACAGCCGGAAACGGCUGCUAAUACCGCAUAAACCAGGGAGGCGCAUGCCUUUGUGGGGAAAGCUCCGGCGGUAUGGGAGGGGCCCGCGUCUGAUUAGCUUGUUGGCGGGGCAGCGGCCCACCAAGGCGACGAUCAGUAGCCGGCCUGAGAGGGCGGACGGCCACAUUGGGACUGAGACACGGCCCAAACUCCUACGGGAGGCAGCAGUGGGGGAUAUUGCACAAUGGGGGAAACCCUGAUGCAGCGACGCCGCGUGGGCGAAGAAGUAUUUCGGUAUGUAAAGCCCUAUCAGCAGGGAAGAAGAAAUGACGGUACCUGAGUAAGAAGCACCGGCUAAAUACGUGCCAGCAGCCGCGGUAAUACGUAUGGUGCAAGCGUUAUCCGGAUUUACUGGGUGUAAAGGGAGCGCAGGCGGCACGGCAAGCCUGAUGUGAAAGCCCGCGGCCCAACCGCGGGACUGCAUUGGGAGCUACCGGGCUGGAGUGCCGGAGAGGUAGGCGGAAUUCCUAGUGUAGCGGUGAAAUGCGUAGAUAUUAGGAGGAACACCAGUGGCGAAGGCGGCCUACUGGACGGUGACUGACGCUGAGGCUCGAAAGCGUGGGGAGCAAACAGGAUUAGAUACCCUGGUAGUCCACGCCGUAAACG
rnacentral:rRNA from 1 species